rnacentral:rRNA from 1 species
AAUAGAUACCCAGGUAGUCCACGCCUUAAGCGAUGAGAGCUAGUUGUCAGUAAGCAUGCUUAUUGGUGACGCAGCUAACGCAUUAAGCUCUCCGCCUGGGGAGUACGGCCGCAAGGUUAAAACUCAAAGGAAUUGACGGGUCCCCGCACAAGCGGCGGAGCAUGCGGCUUAAUUCGAUGCAACCCGAAGAACCUUACCUGGGUUUGACAUCACGGGAAAAGCUGUAGAAAUACAGUGUCCAUUAGGGCCCGUGACAGGUGGUGCAUGGCUGUCGUCAGCUCGUGUCGUGAGAUGUUGGGUUAAGUCCCGCAACGAGCGCAACCCUUGUCCUAUGUUGCCAGCGGUUCGGCCGGGGACUCAUAGGAGACUGCCGGGGAUAACUCGGAGGAAGGUGAGGACGACGUCAAGUCACCAUGCCCCUUAUAUCCAGGGCUGCACGCAUGCUACAAUGGCCGGUACAACGGGCAGCGACCCCGCGAGGGUGAGCGAAUCCUAAAAAGCCCGUCUAGUUCGGAUUGAAGU